AGCUUUCUUGCAUCAUGAAAGCAUUUUUACAAAAAGCUAAUGGAGGUGUGCAAUAGAGCAAAAAGGAUGGGAGAAAAAUGCACAGCCCAUACUACAAAAAUGCACAGUAAUGAUGUCACUCAUACAAUGGGACAAAUUAUGAAUGUCAUGUGACAUACAAUCCACCAAUCAAAUGACAAGGAUCUAUUCAUAAUAAUAAUAAU